UACGUAGGCAGCAAGCGUUGUUCGGAGUUACUGGGCGUAAAGAGCGCGUAGGCGGCUAGAUAAGUCCGGUGUGAAAGUCACAGGCUCAACCUGUGAAUGCCGCUGGAAACUGUCUGGCUAGAGUCCGGAAGGGGCGAGUGGAAUUCCUGGUGUAGCGGUGAAAUGCGCAGAUAUCAGGAGGAACACCAAUGGCGAAGGCAGCUCGCUGGGACGGUACUGACGCUGAGGCGCGAAAGCGUGGGGAGCAAACAGG
rnacentral:rRNA from 1 species